rfam:Nesterenkonia sp. PF2B19 NODE_57_length_22188_cov_56.7622, whole genome shotgun sequence.
UCCGGUCCUCGGUAGUGGCCUCCGGGAGCCGCGCAUCAUGCGCAGGCAGCCCGUGGGCUUCGAUCGAUGGCCGUC